rnacentral:rRNA from 1 species
AUUGAACGCUGGCGGCAUGCCUUACACAUGCAAGUCGAACGGUAACAGGUCUUCGGAUGCUGACGAGUGGCGAACGGGUGAGUAAUACAUCGGAACGUGCCCGAUCGUGGGGGAUAACGAGGCGAAAGCUUUGCUAAUACCGCAUACGAUCUACGGAUGAAAGCGGGGGAUCUUCGGACCUCGCGCGGACGGAGCGGCCGAUGGCAGAUUAGGUAGUUGGUGGGAUAAAAGCUUACCAAGCCGACGAUCUGUAGCUGGUCUGAGAGGAUGAUCAGCCACACUGGGACUGAGACACGGCCCAGACUCCUACGGGAGGCAGCAGUGGGGAAUUUUGGACAAUGGGCGAAAGCCCGAUCCAGCCAUGCCGCGUGCAGGAUGAAGGCCUUCGGGUUGUAAACUGCUUUUGUACGGAACGAAAAGCCUCUUUCUAAUAAAGAGGGGUCAUGACGGUACCGUAAGAAUAAGCACCGGCUAACUACGUG